CUGAAUUCUAUCCAUGGCUAUGGAUCUCAAGUUAAGAUGAAGAUGCAGCAGUAGCCUGUAUGUCCUGUCUGCUUUGUCUGAAACCAACGAUGACUUCAUCUGCUGCCUCUAAUGAAAAUGGGUUUCAAGAGAAAAAGUUAGGGGACAUCUGUGGAGGAAACCACAUGUGACAAGAAGGACCAGGAGCCAGACACACCCGGCUGAGUGCCUCAGAGAUCUCUUCUAUUCACAGUCGAC